rnacentral:rRNA from 1 species
UACGAAGGGGGCUAGCGUUGUUCGGAGUUACUGGGCGUAAAGGGCGCGUAGGCGGCGCACCAAGUCAGGCGUGAAAGCCCUGGGCUCAACCCGGGAAUUGCGCUUGAGACUGGUGUGCUUGAGUACGGGAGAGGAUAGUGGAAUUCCCAGUGUAGAGGUGAAAUUCGUAGAUAUUGGGAAGAACACCGGUGGCGAAGGCGGCUAUCUGGACCGUAACUGACGCUGAGGCGCGAAAGCGUGGGGAGCAAACA